rnacentral:rRNA from 1 species
UCAUGGCUCAGGACGAACGCUGGCGGCGUGCUUAACACAUGCAAGUCGAACGGUGAACCUUGGAGCUUGCUUCGAGGGGAUCAGUGGCGAACGGGUGAGUAACACGUGAGUAACCUGCCCCGGACUCUGGAAUAAGCGCUGGAAACGGCGUCUAAUACCGGAUACGAGACGCAACCGCAUGGUUAGUGUCUGGAAAGUUUUUCGGUCUGGGAUGGACUCGCGGCCUAUCAGCUUGUUGGUGAGGUAAUGGCUCACCAAGGCGACGACGGGUAGCCGGCCUGAGAGGGCGACCGGCCACACUGGGACUGAGACACGGCCCAGACUCCUACGGGAGGCAGCAGUGGGGAAUAUUGCACAAUGGGCGAAAGCCUGAUGCAGCGACGCCGCGUGAGGGAUGACGGCCUUCGGGUUGUAAACCUCUUUCAGCAGGGAAGAAGCGAAAGUGACGGUACCUGCAGAAGAAGCACCGGCUAACUACGUGCCAGCAGCCGCGGUAAUACGUAGGGUGCGAGCGUUGUCCGGAAUUAUUGGGCGUAAAGAGCUUGUAGGCGGUUUGUCGCGUCUGCUGUGAAAAUCCGGGGCUCAACCCCGGACUUGCAGUGGGUACGGGCAGACUAGAGUGUGGUAGGGGAGACUGGAAUUCCUGGUGUAGCGGUGAAAUGCGCAGAUAUCAGGAGGAACACCGAUGGCGAAGGCAGGUCUCUGGGCCACUACUGACGCUGAGAAGCGAAAGCAUGGGGAGCGAACAGGAUUAGAUACCCUGGUAGUCCAUGCCGUAAACGUUGGGCGCUAGGUGUGGGACUCAUUCCACGAGUUCCGUGCCGCAGCUAACGCAUUAAGCGCCCCGCU